CCACCGACCCCACCCACCAAUUCUCUCACAUUCUAGUUUCUUCUUUCACUUUCUCUACUUCCUCCCCUGUUUCACGGUUCUUCCAUUUCCCCAAUUUCUAUUCAUCUUCUUCUUUCAAACACAAAUGUCAGCCAUGCACUCAAAAGAAAACUAACAAACCUCUAUUAUAAGUUCCUCAUACUUCUACAAAUAGUAUUAGGUAUAAUUUUGGGAUUAGGGUUAGUGCUCUAAGAGAGGAGAUGAGUACCCACUCUUUGAAAGUUACUUAUUGGGACUUUUGAGAUUCGACAGUUGAUGCUUUAUCUGCUACUCCGGGAGUCGUUAGAGAGAAAAACUAGCCGGUCUUCAUAGUUAUUCAAAGUCAGCUGAGUAGGGGUUUCUAGCAGAUAUUGAGAGUCGUCGGUAUCAUUCUUUUGGUAGGCUUCCUUGAUGAAAUGUUACUUUGUAUAUGUAUAUUUUGAGUUGAUCGAAUAUCUGCAGCUAUUUUGAGUCUAGGAAUAUAUUUACUUUGUGAUGUAUAAAUUUAAACAUGUAUAUUUUGAAACUUCUGACUUAAUGAUGUAUAUGCUGCAAACAAGAUUUAUUUUGAUUUGGAAAUAUUAUAUUUAUUGUUUGUUAAA